CAAGCCUAGGCUGGGCAACUUAGUGAGUUAGCAAGACCUUGUCUGAAAAAAAUGAGUGCUGUCCCCGAAAGGAAUAUGUAUUCUUCUUUGAAAUCAUUUCCCAUUCUUAGCAUUACCAGCAGGGGCCUAAUCUGCCUGCAGUCUUCGUCCCAGUAAAUCUACAGGCACUGAAAUACAAACAAAAGCAGAUAUAGAGCUACAACAUUCUGCUUACUUCGGGGUAAAAAUGCCACUUAGACAAGUUUUGUGAAAAUAAUUGCCCAGCAAGAAACGUCCUUCUUUCUUCUCCAAAUACCAUUUGCCUUUCCCAGGUCUCUGUCCCUCAUUUAAAUGAUUACCACAUGCUCUGUUACAGCCACAGAAAGAAAAUGCCCUGGUGUACUUGAUUUGUCUGUCUCCAAUGGAAGACUCUCCAGUCAAAUCCAAGAAGAGGUAACUUGGUUAGAGCUUAGAAAAAAGAAAGUUAAGAAAGUGAAAAUCAUACCAGUGUGUUUGGGUUCGGAAUGGAAACUUCUAAGAGACAGUGGACAUGAAUUUUUAAAGUGGAGUGAGAUUUUCCCCACUUUUACACGAGCUGCUGGCUUCUAACCACAGUUACUAUGACGCUUUGCCGCUGAGCUAAAUCCCCAGCCCCCUGGAAGAACAAUUUCUAUAAAGGGGCGACAAAGAAUAUGAUUUCACUCAAAGCCACCUUCAUGGAGACCUGGUCCGAGACCAGCCAUGACUGGCCAGUUACGACGACCCUUUACGGUACAUAAAGACGCUUCUGUACAGUGAUAGGUAGGCUACACACACCCUAUCAUUUGGGUCCAGUGAGCUUUCGAAAACAUCAACGCAGUCCAGUUCCUGUUUGGAGGAUAAUGCUUCACGCAACAAUAAAUAAAAUGGAAGUAAAAAUAAUAUUUUACCACUUGAUAGCUCAUAUAUGUAUUUCAUGUGUUAAAAUGCCUCACUACUAUGAGUAAAUUAUAAGAUUAGAAGAAAAUAUCUACAAAUUGUGUAUACAGUUAUAGUUGUUUCCAGUAAGUCAACAACUAAAACGAACAAAAAUUUACCAAUAGUAAAAUGUGGAAUAUUAUAG